UCAAGUUACAAAGAGUGCAUGGUGGAUGCCUUGGCGUCGAGAGGCGAUGAAGGACGUGGUAGGCUGCGAUAUGCUCCGGGGAGUGGUCAAACGCGCAUUGAUCCGGAGAUCUCCGAAUGGGGAAACCCAAUGUCACUGGGCAACCAGAUGGCAUUAUCUAUGGAUGAAUUCAUAGUCCAUAGAGGCGAACCCAGCGAACUGAAACAUCUCAGUAGCUGGAGGAAAGGAAAUCAACCGAGACUCCGUAAGUAGCGGCGAGCGAAAGCGGAUCUAGCCCAAACCGGGACUUGUUCCCGGGGUUGCGGGCCCUCGAGGAGUUACAAAAGCAUCGUUAGAAGAACGAUCUGGAAAGGUCGGCCAUAGCGGGUGACAGCCCCGUAUUCGAAAGCGAUUGCUCUCCAUUGAGAGGUGUCCCAGAGUAGCGUAGAGCUCGUGGAACUCUGCGUGAAUCCGGGGGGACCACCCUCCAAGGCUAAGUACUACUCGACGACCGAUAGUGUACAAGUAGGGUGACUGAAUGGUGAAAAGAACCCCUUUAAGGGGAGUUAAAAGAACCUGAAACCAUGUACUUACAAGCUGUGGGAGCUCGAUUGCUUCGCUUCGGCGUAGCGCGAGUGACCGCGUGCCUUUUGCAUAAUGAACCGGCGAGUUAUCGUUUGUGGCAAGGUUAAUGUGUUUCGCACAGGAGCCGUAGGGAAACCGAGUCUGAAUAGGGCGCUCUAGUCGCAAGUGAUAGACGCGAAACCAGGUGAUCUACCCAUGGCCAGGUUGAAGCGACUGUAAAAGGUUGCGGAGGACCGAACGGGUUAACGUUGAAAAGUUAUCCGAUGAGCUGUGGGGAGGAGUAAAAGUCUAAUCAAACCUGGAGAUAUCUCGUUCUCCCCGAAAUAGCUUUAGGGCUAGCCUCAAGGAACUACUCUGCGGGGGUAGAGCUACUGAAUGAAGAUAGGGGGCCACCAGCCUACCUACUUCAAUCAAACUCCGAAUACCGUAGAGACUAUCUUGGGAGUCAGACUGUGGGGGAUAACCUCCAUGGUCAAAAGGGAAACAACCCGGACCGUCGGCUAAGGUCCCUAAUCCAUGCUAAGUGCGUAAGGAAGUCUUUUUCCAGUGACAGCGGGGAUGUUGGCUUAGAAGCAGCCACCAUUUAAAAAGUGCGUAAUAGCUUACCCGUCGAGGAAUUAGGCGCCGAUGAUGAACGGGACUAAGCAUGGUACCGAAGCCACGGGUGUUGCGAGUCGCGAGUUGUGGGCUACCUAAUGACCGUAUCGACUAAUGACCGUAUCGAAAGAAGUCAAAGUUUGAUAUCGAUGGCAGUAUGAUUUUUAGUUUAGGUAGUUUGUAACUCGCGACUCUCAACGCGGUAGGGGAGCGUUGAUAGGCAGAUACAGGCCGUACUGAAAAGAGCGGUAACGGGCCUAUCAAGUGAUCAUGCCGGUAUGAGUAACGAUAAAGAAGGUGAAAAUCCUUCUCGCCGUAAACCUAAGGUUUCCUGGGGAAGGUAAAUCCGCCCAGGGUUAGGCGGUCCCUAAGGCGAGGCCGAAAGGCGUAGUCGAUGGACAGCAGGUUAAUAUUCCUGCCCUCCGUCAGGAGGUUGAAAUGAUUGUGCGUCUCACUAGCGUACAGCCCACUAUACUCGAGGGUGCGUAAGCGAGGCCGAUCUGUUGCCGAAGUGUGCAACGGUGAGACCGAGAAAAGCAAUCAUGGACAAAUGGCGGAACCGUACUAAAACUGACACAGGUAGGUGAGGCGCGUAGCCUCAGGCGCUCGAGAGAACCGUCCUUAAGGAACUAGGCAAAUUGACCCCGUAACUUCGGGAUAAGGGGUUCCGUCCUACUUCGGUAGGCGGACGCAGAGAAUCGGCAGCGGCGACUGUUUAUCAAAAACACAGGUCUCUGCUAAGUCGUACAGACGACGUAUAGAGACUGACGCCUGCUCGGUGCGGGAAUGUUAAGGAAGUAGGUUAGCCUUCGGGUGAAGCUUACGACCGAAGCACCCGUAAACGGCGGCCCUAACUAUGAGGGUCCUAAGGUAGCGAAAUUCCUUGUCGGGUAAGUUCCGACGCGCAUGAAUGGCGUAACGACUGCUGCACUGUCUCAAGGACGGACUCGGUGAAAUUGGACUUGUGGUGAAGAUACCACAUACCCGCGGCAAGACGGAAAGACCCCGUGAACCUUUACUGUAGCCUGAUAUUGGCCAUUUGCUGUACAUGCGUAGGAUAGGUGGGAGGCGAUGAUUCGGCAGUUCCGGCUGUCGAGAAGCCAUCCUUGAAAUACCACCCUUGUGCUGUGAGUUGCCUCACCUCGUUCCGUGAAUCCGGGCGAGGGACAGUGUUAGGUGGGCAGUUUGACUGGGGCGGUCUCCUCCCAAAGAGUAACGGAGGAGUGCAAAGGUUGGCUCAGCACGGUUGGCAAUCGUGCGUCGAGUGCAAAGGCACAAGCCAGCUUAACUGCGAGACAUACUCGUCGAGCAGAUACGAAAGUAGGCCUUAGUGAUCCGGUAAUCCCGUGUGGAAGGGUUAUCGCUCAUCGGACAAAAGGUACUCCGGGGAUAACAGGCUAAUGACUCCCGAGCGUUCAUAGCGGCGGAGUCGUUUGGCACCUCGAUGUCGGCCCAUCACAUCCUGGGGCUGAAGGCGGUCCCAAGGGUUCGGCUGUUCGCCGAUUAAAGUGGUACGCGAGCUGGGUUCAGACCGGCGUGAGCCAGGUCGGUCCCUAUCUGCCGUGGGCGUAUGAAACUUGAAAGGAUAUUUCCUUAGUACGAGAGGAUUAGGAAGUACGUGCCUCUGGUGUACCAGUUGUCCCGCUCGGGGCACCGCUGGGUAGCUAUGCACGGAAAGGAUAACCGCUGAAUGCAUCUAAGCGGGAAGCCCUCCUUAAGAUUAGGUUUCGAUCUUGUCUUCGGACAAGUGUAGGCCCCUGGAAGACUACCAGGUCGAUAGGCAGGAGGUGUAAGCACAGAGAUGUGUUUAGCUGACCUGUACUAAUGGCCAAACGCUUG
rnacentral:rRNA from 1 species